UCCAGCUGUAUGUCCAGCUCCUUUGUAGUGAUGUCACUCAGAACAAGACAGGAGUAUUACCUUCUCUCAAAGGACUAAACAACAACAACAAGAGCAGUUAACGAUUCAUUUGACACUUAAACCAGAGAUGGCAAAACAAUGGACCAGCUGAGAACAACAACAACAACAACACCUUUUUACUACUACGCCAAAAGGAGCCUGUUUUCCUGAACGAGGACUCUACUAACACACAAACCAGAACCCGAGAACUGUCCGGGGAAGUAGGUUGUGAGCCGUGCCCUCUGACCUCAAAAGAGCAUUCUGGGUAUGCUCCGAGUCUGUUAGUUCCCCUGAAAAAAAACACCACAGACAGCGACUCAAAUGGCGCCCUAUUCCCUGUAUAGUGCACUACGCCUGAACAUGGUCAUAUCCUCUGGUUAAAAGUAGUGCACUAUAUAGGGGAAUAGGGUGCCAUUUGAGCUUUAAGCCACCCUCAAGAACCUUGUUUAUGGUUUCUUAUAGUGUUUUUUUUUUUUUACAUGAUGCAUAUAAUAUAUCAAUUAGUAUUUAAUGGGGCCCUCCUGGGUGGCGCUGUACCGCAGCUGUGCCACCAGAGACUCUGGGUUCGCGCUGUACCGCAGCUGUGACACAGAGAGGUGUUUCUGCUUUAGACUGAUGACACAGAGAGGUGUGUUUCUGCUUUAGACUGAUGACACAGAGAUGUGUGUUUCUGCUUUAGACUGAUGACACAGAGAGGUGUGUUUCUGCUUUAGACUGAUGACACAGAGAGGUGUGUUUCUGCUUUAGACUGAUGACACAGAGAGGUGUUUCUGCUUUAGACUGAUGACACAGAGAGGUGUUUCUGCUUUAGACUGAUGACACAGAGAGGUGUGUUUCUGCUUUAGACUGGUGACACAGAGAGGUGUUUCUGCUUUAGACUGAUGACACAGAGAGGUGUGUUUCUGCUUUAGACUGAUGACACAGAGAGGUGUGUUUCUGCUUUAGACUGAUGACACAGAGAGGUGUGUUUCUGCUUUAGACUGAUGACACAGAGAGGUGUGUUUCUGCUUUAGACUGAUGACACAGAGAGGUGUGUUUCUGCUUUAGACUGGUGACACAGAGAGGUGUGUUUCUGCUUUAGACUGAUGACACAGAGAGGUGUGUUUCUGCUUUAGACUGAUGACACAGAGAGGUGUUUCUGCUUUAGACUGAUGACACAGAGAGGUGUGUUUCUGCUUUAGACUGAUGACACAGAGAGGUGUGUUUCUGCUUUAGACUGAUGACACAGAGAGGUGUGUUUCUGCUUUAGACUGGUGACACAGAGAGGUGUGUUUCUGCUUUAGACUGAUGACACAGAGAGGUGUGUUUCUGCUUUAGACUGAUGACACAGAGAGGUGUGUUUCUGCUUUAGACUGGUGACACAGAGAGGUGUGUUUCUGCUUUAGACUGAUGACACAGAGAGGUGUGUUUCUGCUUUAGACUGAUGACACAGAGAGGUGUGUUUCUGCUUUAGACUGAUGACACAGAGAGGUGUGUUUCUCUGAUUAUACUAUGGUCGUGUCCCAAAUGGCACCCUAUUCCCUACACAGUGAAAAGUUGUGCACUAUUUAAGCAAUAGGGUCCCAUUCAGGAUGCAACCUGUGUGUGUGGGACAACAGUGUUACCUGGGCAACAGUGUUACCUGGGCAACAGUGUUACCUGGGCAACAGUGUUACCUGGGCAACAGUGUUGAUUUGUUGACAUUCAGACUGUAUUCUAUUUAUCUUGAGAGAGGAUGAGAAGGGGAAAGAGAUCAUUAAGAGAUUAUCCUAAACUUCCUAACAUUGUCCAGGAAGAUGAACAUAGAUUGACCUGUGACCCGGGAAGUUGAACAUAAUAAUGCUGAUCAGUGAUUGGCUGAUGAUAGGCAGAGGGCAGGUAUUACUUAAAGACAGUGUUGGUAGUUUGAAAUUAUGAACAGAAACACAAAGAGGUUUUUGUAUCUGAAAAGAGUUAACUCCCAAAAGGAGAAAUGUGUUUUAUCGUCUGGUUGCUUUGAUGUGUGUAGGAGACUAUUUUUACUAUUUUUGAGAGUCUUUUUAUUUGUGCUGUGGAAAAUACACUAAAGGAAAAUUGUUUUCCAGGGGCCUGUGUUUCAAUACAGUGUACGAGAGAGGGAGAGAGAGAUGCUCACCACAGAGGAGAGAGAGAUGCUCACCACAGUGGAGAGAGAGAUGCUCACCACAGUGAAGAGAGAGAUGCUCACCACAGCGAAGAGAGAGAUGCUCACCACAGUGAAGAGAGAGAUGCUCACCACAGUGAAGAGGGAGAGAGAGAUGCUCACCACAGUGAAGAGGGAGAGAGAGAUGCUCACCACAGUGGAGAGAGAGAUGCUCACCACAGUGAAGAGAGAGAUGCUCACCACAGCGAAGAGAGAGAUGCUCACCACAGCGAAGAGGGAGAGAGAGAUGCUCACCACAGCGAAGAGAGAGAUGCUCACCACAGCGAAGAGAGAGAUGCUCACCACAGUGAAGAGAGGGAGAGAGAGAUGCUCACCACAGAGGAGAGAGGGAGAGAGAGAUGCUCACCACAGUGAAGAGAGGGAGAGAGAGAUGCUCACCACAGUGAAGAGAGGGAGAGAGAGAUGCUCACCACAGUGAAGAGAGGGAGAGAGAGAUGCUCACCACAGUGAAGAGAGGGAGAGAGAGAUGCUCACCACAGUGAAGAGAGGGAGAGAGAGAUGCUCACCACAGCGAAGAGAGGGAGAGAGAGAUGCUCACCACAGUGAAGAGAGGGAGAGAGAGAUGCUCACCACAGUGAAGAGAGGGAGAGAGAGAUGCUCACCACAGUGAAGAGAGGGAGAGAGAGAUGCUGACCACAGCGAAGAGAGGGAGAGAGAGAUGCUGACCACAGUGAAGAGAGGGAGAGAGAGAUGCUCACCACAGCGAAGAGAGGGAGAGAGAGAUGCUCACCACAGUGAAGAGAGGGAGAGAGAGAUGCUCACCACAGUGAAGAGAGGGAGAGAGAGAUGCUCACCACAGUGAAGAGAGGGAGAGAGAGAUGCUCAUCACAGCGAAGAGAGGGAGAGAGAGAUGCUCACCACAGCGAAGAGAGGGAGAGAGAGAUGCUCACCACAGUGAAGAGAGGGAGAGAGAGAUGCUCACCACAGUGAAGAGAGGGAGAGAGAGAUGCUCACCACAGUGAAGAGAGGGAGAGAGAGAUGCUCACCACAGUGAAGAGAGGGAGAGAGAGAUGCUCACCACAGUGAAGAGAGGGAGAGAGAGAUGCUCACCACAGUGAAGAGAGGGAGAGAGAGAUGCUCACCACAGUGAAGAGAGGGAGAGAGAGAUGCUCACCACAGCGAAGAGAGGGAGAGAGAGAUGCUUACAACAGCGAAGAGAGGGAGAGAGAGAUGCUCACCACAGUGAAGAGAGGGAGAGAGAGAUGCUCACCACAGUGAAGAGAGGGAGAGAGAGAUGCUCACCACAGUGAAGAGAGGGAGAGAGAGAUGCUCACCACAGUGAAGAGAGGGAGAGAGAGAUGCUCACCACAGUGAAGAGAGAGAUGCUCACCACAGUGAAGAGAGGGAGAGAGAGAUGCUCACAACAGCGAAGAGAGGGAGAGAGAGAUGCUCACCACAGCGAAGAGAGGGAGAGAGAGAUGCUCACCACAGCGAAGAGAGGGAGAGAGAGAUGCUCACCACAGCGAAGAGAGGGAGAGAGAGAUGCUCACCACAGCGAAGAGAGGGAGAGAGAGAUGCUCACCACAGUGAAGAGAGGGAGAGAGAGAUGCUCACCACAGCGAAGAGAGGGAGAGAGAGAUGCUCACCACAGUGAAGAGAGGGAGAGAGAGAUGCUCACCACAGUGAAGAGAGGGAGAGAGAGAUGCUCACCACAGCGAAGAGAGGGAGAGAGAGAUGCUCACCACAGUGAAGAGAGGGAGAGAGAGAUGCUCACCACAGCGAAGAGAGGGAGAGAGAGAUGCUCACCACAGUGAAGAGAGGGAGAGAGAGAUGCUCACCACAGUGAAGAGAGGGAGAGAGAGAUGCUCACCACAGUGAAGAGAGGGAGAGAGAGAUGCUCACCACAGCGAAGAGAGGGAGAGAGAGAUGCUCACCACAGCGAAGAGAGGGAGAGAGAGAUGCUGACCACAGUGAAGAGAGGGAGAGAGAGAUGCUCACCACAGCGAAGAGAGGGAGAGAGAGAUGCUGACCACAGUGAAGAGAGGGAGAGAGAGAUGCUCACCACAGCGAAGAGAGGGAGAGAGAGAUGCUCACCACAGCGAAGAGAGGGAGAGAGAGAUGCUCACCACAGCGAAGAGAGGGAGAGAGAGAUGCUCACCACAGGGAAGAGAGGGAGAGAGAGAUGCUCACCACAGCGAAGAGAGGGAGAGAGAGAUGCUCACCACAGUGAAGAGAGGGAUAGAGAGAUGCUCACCACAGUGAAGAGAGGGAGAGAGAGAUGCUCACCACAGUGAAGAGAGGGAGAGAGAGAUGCUCACCACAGUGAAGAGAGGGAGAGAGAGAUGCUCACCACAGUGAAGAGAGGGAGAGAGAGAUGCUCAUCACAGUGAAGAGAGGGAGAGAGAGAUGCUCACCACAGCGAAGAGAGGGAGAGAGAGAUGCUCAUCACAGUGAAGAGAGGGAGAGAGAGAUGCUCACCACAGCGAAGAGAGGGAGAGAGAGAUGCUCAUCACAGUGAAGAGAGGGAGAGAGAGAUGCUCACCACAGUGAAGAGAGGGAGAGAGAGAUGCUCACCACAGUGAAGAGAGGGAGAGAGAGAUGCUGACCACAGCGAAGAGAGGGAGAGAGAGAUGCUCACCACAGUGAAGAGAGGGAGAGAGAGAUGCUGACCACAGCGAAGAGAGGGAGAGAGAGAUGCUCACCACAGUGAAGAGAGGGAGAGAGAGAUGCUCAACACAGUGAAGAGAGGGAGAGAGAGAUGCUCAUCACAGAGGAGAGCGGGAGAGAGAGAUGCUGAGCGAGAGAGAGAGAUGCUCACCACAGUGAAGAGAGGGAGAGAGAGAUGCUGACCACAGCGAAGAGAGGGAGAGAGAGAUGGUCAUCUAACCAUUUUAUGUAUUAUUAGGUGUGUGUGUGUGUGUGUGUGUGUGUGUGUGUGUGUGUGUGUGUGUGUGUGUGUGUGUGUGUGUGUGUGUGUGUGUGUGUGUGUGUGUGUGUGUGUGUGUGUGUGUGUGUUCUUCGGGAUACUGAAUUUGCAACUAGUAAAUAUGCAAAGUUAAUGUUGUUGUAACAAGAGGGUAAUGUAACAAAAGGGUAAUGUCGGGGUAUCAAGAGGGUAAUGUUAGUGUAACAAGAGGUUCAUAAUAGUGUAACAAGAGAUUCAUAAUAGUGUAACAAGAGGGUAAUGUAACAAAAGAGUAAUGUCAGGGAACAAGAGGGCAAUGUAAGGGUAACACUGGGGUAAUGUAACAAGAGGGUAAUGUUAGGGUAACACCAGGGUAAUGUAAUGAGAGGGUACUGUAUCAAGAGGACAAUGUAGGGGUAACACUAGGGUAAUGUAACAAGAGGGUAAUGUAUCAAGAGGGCAAUGUUAGGGUAACACUAGGGUAAUGUAACAAGAGGGUAAUGUAUCAAGAGGGCAAUGUUAGGGUAACACGGGGUAAUGUAACAAGAGGGUAAUGUAUCAAAAGGGCAAUGGUAUGGUAACAAUAUGGUAAUGUUAGGGUAACAAGAGGGCACUGUUGUGUAAUAAAAAGAUAAUGUAACAAAGGGAAGUGUUAGGGCAACAAGAGGGCAAUGUAAGAAUAGAGUAAUGUCAGGGUAACAAGGUGGUAAUGUAACAAGAUGCUAAUGUAACAAAAAGGUACUGUCAUGGUAACAAGAGUGCAAUGUUAAGGUAACAUGAGGGUAAUGGCAGAGUUAGAAGAUGUCGAUGUAACAAAAGGGUAAUGUUUCGGUAACAAGAUGGUAAUUUAAGAAUAGGGUAUUGUAGCAAAGGGGUAAUGUUAGGGUAACGAGAGGUUAAUGUUAAUGUAACAAGAGGGUAGUGUUGACAGAACAAGAUGAUAAUGUAGCAAAGGGGUAAUGUUAGGGUAACGAGAGGUUAAUGUUAAUGUAACAAGAGGGUAGUGUUGACAGAAAAAGAGGUAAUGUAGCAAAGGGGUCAUGUUAGGGUAACAAGAGGAUACUGUAUCAAAGGGUAAUGUAGCAAAGGGGUCAUGUUAGGGUAACAAGAGGUUACUAUUAGUGUAACACGAGGGUAAUGUAACAAGAGGGUUAGGGUAACAUGUUAGGGUAACAACAGGGCGUGUUCUUUACACAACUGUCUGCUAUUUGAUUAGCAUUAGUCAAAACAUAUAAUGAAGAUGGAAACUGUGUGCUAUUGCUAUGUAUUUAUAAUGUACAACGUCUCUUAUAGCAUAUGAUACCAAAACAGCACAAAUCCUGUAUUUUAAAAGAAGACAUUCAUCAAGUUGAAUUUGGUCUCAGAACUUGAAAAGAAAGUAGACGUUUCUUGAAUAACUAAAUUAGUAAUCGUACUGUAUAUUUGGUGGAUAAUGCAGUUUGUCAUGUGUGAAUAUUAAAACCAUUUCAGGGUCAGAAAACAAAUGAGGAAGUAGCAGCACAAUAGAUGUAAACACACUAUACAGUAAUAAUGUAAACACACUGUACGGUAAUAAUGUAAACACACUAUACAGUAAUAAUGUAAACACACUAUACAGUAAUAAUGUAAACACACUGUACAGUAAUAAUUAAACACACUAUACGGUAAUAAUUAAACACACUGUACAGUAAUAAUGUAAACACACUGUACAGUAAUAAUUAAACACACUAUACGGUAAUAAUGUAAACACACUAUACAGUAAUAAUGUAAACACACUGUACAGUAAUAAUUAAACACACUAUACGGUAAUAAUUAAACACACUGUACAGUAAUAAUGUAAACACACUGUACAGUAAUAAUUAAACACACUAUACGGUAAUAAUGUAAACACACUGUACAGUAAUAAUGUAAACACACUCUACAGUAAUAAUGUAAACACACUGUACAGUAAUAAUUAAACACACUAUACGGUAAUACUGUAAACACACUCUACAGUAAUAAUUAAACACACUCUACAGUAAUAAUGUAAACACACUAUACAGUAAUAAUGUAAACACACUAUAAGGUAAUAAUGUAAACACACUAUACAGUAAUAAUGUAAACACACUAUACAGUAAUAAUGUAAACACACUAUACAGUAAUAAUGUAAACACACUAUACAGUAAUAAUGUAAACACACUCUACAGUAAUAAUUAAACACACUAUACGGUAAUAAUGUAAACACACUGUACAGUAAUAAUGUAAACACACUAUACAGUAAUAAUUAAACACACUAUACGGUAAUAAUUAAACACACUGUACAGUAAUAAUGUAAACACACUGUACAGUAAUAAUUAAACACACUAUACGGUAAUACUGUAAACACACUCUACAGUAAUAAUUAAACACACUCUACAGUAAUAAUGUAAACACACUAUACAGUAAUAAUGUAAACACACUAUAAGGUAAUAAUGUAAACACACUAUAAGGUAAUAAUGUAAACACACUAUACUGUAAUAAUGUAAACACACUAUACAGUAAUAAUGUAAACACACUAUACAGUAAUAAUGUAAACACACUAUAAGGUAAUAAUGUAAACACACUAUACAGUAAUAAUGUAAACACACUAUACAGUAAUAAUGUAAACACACUAUACAGUAAUAAUGUAAACACACUAUACAGUAAUAAUGUAAACACACUAUACAGUAAUAAUGUAAACACACUAUACAGUAAUAAUGUAAACACACUAUACAGUAAUAAUGUAAACACACUAUACAGUAAUAAUGUAAACACACUAUACAGUAAUAAUGUAAACACACUAUACAGUAAUAGUGUAAACACACUAUAAGGUAAUAAUGUAAACACACUAUACAGUAAUAAUGUAAACACACUAUAAGGUAAUAAUGUAAACACACUAUAAGGUAAUAAUGUAAACACACUAUACAGUAAUAAUGUAAACACACUAUACAGUAAUAAUUAAACACACUAUACAGUAAUAAUGUAAACACACUAUAAGGUAAUAAUGUAAACACACUACAGCCGAUUUGCUGUAUUUGUUGUGCGUUGCAGAGUGACAUCGGCCUUCAAUACUAUAGCCCACGUGCAUGACGCCGUAGAGUACCCUUCAUUACAACUAGCUCUGGUCCAGGGCGUUACUGCAGCCUCAGCAUUAACAAGCUGCACUAAACGCCCUGGACCAGAGCUAGCUGACAGCCGUUGUGCACAUACAGCAUUAGAUCUGCCAAGGGGUUUGAACAUAGAGUAUCACUCCAGACAUGUCUCCCAUGGAGUAGAAAUGUGAGUUGCUGAAUAUAGGCCUACGAUAUUAUUGUUUGCUUUUGGAAUUUUAACUAAUAUAUACACACACAAAAAAUAAAUAUGAUUUUAUGUGUGAGGUGACA